UCCCGGCUACGCGACCAGGCAAUCAGGGACCGAGCUACCCCGCCACGUGAUGGCCCACACUCUGCACACCCCAAACCCAGCAUCCUCUCCAAUUCUUUACUGUUGGUAAUGCCGCACGGUUUCCUCUCCUUUGCUUUGCCCACCAAAUCCAGACCUCUCUCCCAAGCGUCACAGCCUUGUGUUCAACCACUUGGACGCCUCCCUUUGGAGGCCCUAUGUACGCCUCGAACACAUCUCGCUCAGAACUCACCUUCCUACCAAACUCGCCCUUCCUCUCCUACCCUAACCCAAUAAUGGCCCCACCAUCUUCCCAGAUAGCCUAAACCAGAAUCCUGGGAGUCUUAACUGCUCCCUCUUUCCAGCCCCUCUCCUGUUAUCUAAUCCUGCUAAUCUUAUCUCCCGAGUAUCUCUGCAAUCCACACAUUUGCCUCCAGCUACCCAAUUCCAAUCCUCUCAUCUGGUCUCCCUACGUUCACUUUACGACUCAGCUGCUCUUCCUGUACGGAACAGGCAGUGACCCUUCUAAAACUCAAACUCCUGCUCUAAAGUUUUCAUUGGUUCCCAGGGGCCGUCGGGCCUUCAAAAGACAUUUAUAUUGAUCUGACCACUGACAGUUACUAGAAAUGGUUACCGGUUGGUAGGUUGAGAAAGACUGAGAACCAAGACACCAGAUAACCCCUCAGUCCCUCGUAUUGUGGGAUUCCAGUUAUCCCCUGCUUGCUUAUUAUCGUAAGGCAAGUACAGUCCUUCCCUGGAGGCAGAGACCAGAAAUGCCACUUGGAGCCCUGAGAAUGUAGUCUUCUGGAAGCGAGACACACUGGUUUACCUGGAGAGCCUGGCCAGCCCACCUGGACCCGAGGACAUGCCUGCCAUAAUACCGCUCCUGUCAGACUUGCAUCUGGUUUGACGUUUAUACUGCCACUCACCCUUGGCCCUUUCAGGAAGUUUUCUGGUGUGUGCAGACUGUGAAAGUUCAUCAAGCAUAUGUACUUCUCUGUAUAUAUGUUGUGCUUCAAUUAAAACAAAAACAAAAAGUUACAUCACCAGUAAUGAGACAAAUCAGCAUCAUCUACCUAAGAACAACGUGGGAACCUUUCUUGUGAUAUUCCUAUGAAAACCAAAUAACCCGAGUCUCCUCAUGAAGAAACACCCGACAAACCAAGCUGAGGGACAUCCUACUACUAACUGGCCUGUACCCUCUGAUCAUACCAAUGUUGUGAAAGACAAAGACAGAGGAACUGACCAAAGAAAAGGACACUAAAUGGACUGGACAACUGAAUGCAAGAUGGGGAACUGAGGUGGAGAGAAGAGGUCACACGGAAGACUGAAAAGGAGGUGAUAAAAUCAUUCCCCCAUAAGGUGUUAUUGCCUCCCAAGGGAGACAUUUCAUCAGGGGACCAUGUCAACUGAGCACUGAAGCUCAACUGGCAAGAUUUCAGACUCCGCAACAGGAGGCCCUCAGCUCCUGCUCUAGACCUCCAGUAGCUCCUCAUGGCACCCGGAUAUAAAGCCUGUCUUCAGCAGUUUACUCCAGGUUCUGGAGUGCUGGGCACUCAGGAAACUUGGAAGAAUCAGAAAAACACAGAGAAGAAAGUUAAAACCACUGGUUAUGUUAUUACCUAAGAAUCAUCACUAUUAACAUUUUAGUGACUAUCC